GAUAAACGCUAGCGGCAGGCCUAACACAUGCAAGUCGAGGGGCAGCGUAAUGUUUAGUUACUAAAUAUAGAUGGCGACCGGCGAAUGGGUGCGUAACGCGUAUGCAACCUGCCCUGAACAGGGGGAUAAUCUGGAGAAAUCCGGUCUAAUACCCCAUAACACAUUAAAUGGCAUCAUUAAUUGUUAAAAGCUCCGGCGGUUCAGGAUGGGCAUGCGUUGUAUUAGUUAGUUGGUAAGGUAACGGCUUACCAAGACUAUGAUACAUAGGGGGACUGAGAGGUUUGCCCCCCACACUGGUACUGAGACACGGACCAGACUCCUACGGGAGGCAGCAGUGAGGAAUAUUGGUCAAUGGGCGCAAGCCUGACGACGCAACGCCGCGUGGAGGAUGAAGAUCUUCGGGUCGUAAACUCCUGUCGAGCGGGAAGAAUUCCUGCCUGGCUAACAUCCAGGCGGGUUGACGGUACCGCUAAAGGAAGCCCCGGCUAACUCCGUGCCAGCAGCCGCCGUAACAC
rnacentral:rRNA from 1 species